UCAAGCUACAAAGAGCGCAUCAUGGAUGCCUUGGUGCCAAUAGGCGAUGAAGGACGUGGUAAGCUGCGAUAAGCUACGGAGAGCGGCAAACACGCUUUGACCCGUAGAUUUCCGAAUGGGGUAACCUGAGCGAGAUAACACUUGCUCGAGUUCCUGUGAAUCCAUAGCAGGAACAUCGCGACACCCGGCGAAGUGAAACAUCUCAGUAACCGGAGGAAAAGAAAUCGAAAGAGAUUCCGUCAGUAGUGGCGAGCGAAAGCGGAACAGGCUAAACCGAUCGACUUGUCGAUCGGGGUUGUAGGAGCCCGACGUGGUAGUGCAAAGGUUAGGUGAAGCUUCUGGAAAGCUGCGCCAUAGAGGGUGAAAGGCCCGUAACCGAAAGCCCGAGCACGCCUAGGGAUUUCCUGAGUAAUACGAUGCACGUGAAACUUCGUAUGAAUCUGCGCCGACCACGGCGUAAGCCUAAAUACUCAUUGGCGACCGAUAGUGAACAAGUACCGCGAGGGAAAGGUGAAAAGAACCGCUGCGAGCGGAGUGAAAUAGUACCUGAAAUGAUGUGCUUACAAGGUGUCAAAGCCCGCAAGGGUGAUGGCGUGCCUUUUGCUUAAUGAGUCUGCGAGUUACUAUCAGUGGCGAGCCUAAGGCGUUCUGCGCUGGAGGCGAAGCGAAAGCGAGUCCGAAAUGGGCAACCCAGUCGCUGGUAGUAGACCCGAAGCGGAGGUGAUCUACCCAUGAGCAGGAUGAAAGUUGCUUAACCGCAACUGAAGGUCCGAACCCGUGACGGUUGAAAACGUCUGGGAUGACUUGUGGGUAGGAGCGAAAGACUAAUCAAACCCCGUGAUAGCUGGUUCUCCCCGAAAUAGCUUGAGGGCUAGCCUCGUGUGCUGACCUGCGGAGGUAGAGCACUGGAUGAACUAGGGCCCAUACCAGGGUACCGAACUCAAUCAAACUCCGAAUACCGCAGGGCGUAACACGGGAGUCAGUGCGUGAGGGAUAAGCUUCACGCGCGAGAGGCAAACAUGCCAGACCAGCAGCUAAGGUGCCCAAAUGCCGUUCAGUGGAAAGGAUGUGAGGUUGCUUAGACAGUGAGGAUGUUGGCUUAGAGGCAGCCAUCAUUUAAACAGUGCGUAAUAGCUGACUCAUCGAGCGAUCUCGCGCCGAUAAUGAUUGGCGAUAAACGGCAUACCGAAGCUCUGGAAUACAUUUUGGUUCGCCAGAAUGGAUUGGUAGGGGAGCGUUCUUAAUGCAUCGAAGCGCAAGGGAAACCGAACGUGGAGUGUUAAGAAGUGAGGAUGCAGACAUGAGUAGCGAUAAGACAGGUUAAAUUCCUGUCCGCCGUAAACCCAAGGUUUCCUGGGGAAGGUUCGUCCUCCCAGGGUUAGUCGGGACCUAAGUCGAGGCCGAAGGGCGUAGACGAUGGACAGCAGGUUUAAUAUUCCUGCACCGGCUGUGGUUAAGCUCGGAAGUGACGUUUCUGUAGAGAUGGGUCGCCGAUUGAAAGUGGCGGUCUGCUCGCAAGAGCAAGGACGUGGAGGCCUCGGCUGAAGCGGAUCCAUUAAAGCAGGAACCGAGAAAAACUUCCGGGUGUUCCCAUGGUUGCCCGUACCGUAAUCCGACACAGGUGGGUGAGUAGAAUAUACUAAGGCGCGUGAGUGAAACCUCGUUAAGGAACUCGGCAAUCUAGCCCCGUAACUUCGGAAGAAGGGGUGCCGGCUCCAUUUCGGUGAUUCGGUGAAGAGCUUAGGCUGCGAAGCAGCCAAACCUUCGAUCCAACAUCGACAAUCGGAGUCCCCCAGCAUCGGUCGACAAGGAGAGAGUCGCCGAAAUGGAGCCGGUCGCAGUGAAAUGGGUCAACCGACUGUUUACCAAAAACACAGCACUCUGCCAAGUCGUGAAGACGACGUAUAGGGUGUGACACGUGACCAAUGCGGAAAGAUUAUGGCAAGACGUCAGCCGCAAGGCGAAGCGUUGAACCGAAGUCCCCGUGAAUGUCGGCCGUAACUAUAACGGUCCUAAGGUAGCGAAAUUCCUUGUCGGGUAAGUUCCGACCUGCACGAAUCGUGUAACGAGUUGACCGCUGUCUCAACGAGGAGCUCAGCGAAGUUGUAGUGGCGGUGAAGAUGCCGCCUACCCGCAGUAGGACGGAAAGACCCUAUGCACCUUUACUACACGCUGUUACUGUUGUUUCGGUUUCGAUGCUUAGCGUAAGUGGGAGGCUUUGAAGCGGUCCUUUUGGGGAUCGCAGAGCCAACAAUGAAACACCACCCUUCGGUACUGGGAUAACUAACCUUUGCCCGUAUAACCGGGAAAGGGACACUGGCAGCCGGCUAGUUUUACUGGGGCGGUAUCCUCCCAAAGAGUAACGGAGGAGUACGAAGGUUGGCUCAACCUGGUUGGCAAUCAGGUGUCGAGUAUAUGGAUAUAAGCCAGCUUAACUGUGAGACACACACGUCGAGCAGGUACGAAAGUAGGUCCAAGUGAUCCGGUGGUUGAAUGUGGAAUUGCCAUCGCUCAACGGACAAAAGGUACGCUAGGGAUAACAGGCUGAUC
rnacentral:rRNA from 1 species